GACGAACGCUGGCGGCGUGCUUAACACAUGCAAGUCGAGCGAUGAAGCUUGGUGCUUGCGCCAAUUUGAAGAGCAGCGCACGGGUGAGUAACGCGUGGGGAAUCUGCCUUUGAGCGGGGGACAACAUUUGGAAACGAAUGCUAAUACCGCAUAACAUCUUUAAACAUAAGUUUUAAGUUUGAAAGAUGCAAUUGCAUCACUCAAAGAUGAUCCCGCGUUGUGUUAGCUAGUUGGUGAGGUAAAGGCUCAUCGAGGCGGUGAUGCGUAGCCGACCUGAGAGGGUGAUAGGCGACAUUGGGACUGGACCACGGCCCAUAGGACUGCGGGAGGCAGCAGAAGGGAACGUUCGGCAGUGGACGAAAGUCUGACAGAGCAGGGGCGCGUGAGUGAAGAAGGUGUUCGGAUCGUAAAACUCGGUUGGUAGAGAAGAACGUUGGUGAGAGUGGAAAGCUCGUCAAGUGACGGAAACUACCAAGAAGGGGACGGCAAAUUACGU
rnacentral:rRNA from 1 species